AACGUGCAGUCCAACGUGACAGGGACCCUGCCUGAGAUGUAGGCAGCCUCAGAUGGCCGAACACAACUCACAGUGAGGUGCCAUCCAGCUAACCUUUGGGAGCAGAUGAGCAUUGGAGGAGAUGACAGCAC